GUUAAUGUAGCUUAAACUUAAAGCAAGGCACUGAAAAUGCCUAGAUGAGUCUACCGACUCCAUGAACA
rfam:Ovis aries breed Texel chromosome 2, whole genome shotgun sequence.